rnacentral:rRNA from 1 species
AUUGAACGCUGGCGGCAGGCCUAACACAUGCAAGUCGAACGGAGCGGCGGACGGGGGAGUAAUGCCAAGGCAUCUGCCAGGUAGUGGGGGAUAAGGUCCGGCAACGGGAGCUGAUACCACAUACUAUCCGAUGAGCCUAGGUCGGGUUUGCUAGUUGGUGGGGUAAAGGCUUACAAAGGCGACGGUCCGUAACUGGUCUGAGAGGAUGAUCAGUCACACUGGAAUGGAGACACGGUCCAGACUCCUACGGGAGGCAGCAGUGGGGAAUAUUGGCCAAGGGGCGAAAGCCUGAUCAAGCCAUGCCGCGUGUGUGAAGAGGGUCUUCGGAUUGUAAAGCACUUUAAGUUGGGAGGCGUUACCAACAGAAGAAGCAACGGCUAACUUCGUGACAGCAGCCGCGGUAAUAC